CCAUAGGCCCUUUUCAUGGCCACACUGAGAGAAAAGUAAAUUGUU
rfam:Picea glauca, whole genome shotgun sequence.